rnacentral:lncRNA from 1 species
UGUAUAUGAAAAUGAAAAGGAAUUGAGAGUAUAUUACCAUAUUAUAUGGGUGAAUAGUCAUCUUCACCGGGAGCAGAAGAAAUAGAAGACAAGACAACAAAAGUACCAAACAAGAUUGUGACAAUGGCAGUGAAGUUAACAAGGAGUGCCUUUGAACCAUAUUUAGGUGCCUCUGAACCAUAUUUAGUCACACCUACUGAGCUCUCCAGGAAUGUGAGCUUCUCUAAGAACCCAAGAGAAGCUGUCCCAAGUGCAAGCACAUACACUAUCAGCCCAAACAACACGUGCCAUGGG